rnacentral:tRNA from 1 species
GCACCAUCUCUUACUUGAUACGGCUUUACUCGGCUACGAACCGAGCGGUCGGAGGUUCGAAUCCUCCCGGAUGCACCA